GACACAGUUCAUGUAGCUUUGCUUUUCAAAUAUUUUUUCAUCUAUUAAAGUGGUUUAAGAGCAAAUCAUGGCAGGCCCCUAGGAUUGCCCUGGAGGAUGUCAUGUUGCCUAUAUUGUAUUACUUUGUUUUACAGGUGUCCCAAUUGAAGCCCUUUGUGCAUCCAGCUGCAAUCUUGUACUCAAUCCUGUUAACAUCCCUGUUAUCCGGUUCAGAUCAAGUCAUGGAUAAGGACUGUUUGGCUGAGCAUCCCUGGGAAAGAAAAGAGGUGAUGUUCAUGGACAUGAAGAAGCAGUGGAAAAUACUGUGAAGAUUUAUUUGCUCUUGGAGUGAGGAGGAGGCUCAACUUCAGCAGACUAACACGUUCAAAUGUAGAGCAGAACAGAGAGAGAGAAACUUGGGUUAAGGCAUAAGACCUUCACAACUAAACUUCAGCGAAAACAGCACUAGCUCCAGUUACCUGAAAUAUGACUUAAAAAGCUGUUCAGAUUCCUGAGGAGACUGAGACUUCUGGACUGAAAGAGGUGACCCAGAAGGACUGUACACACUUCAGAAGAACAUGGAAAACACCAUGCAACUUCCCUUUACACUGAGAACAACACCUCAUGGUCUCAGUCCCAUGAAGAUAUAUGACCUGAGCUGCCAUCAGGAAGUCCUGUCACUUACUGUCCUCUCCCCAGACUUACUGAGGAUUCUACAUUGGAUUGGUGCUGCAAGCAGCAGAUAGUGGUGAUUGGUGACCAAGACCCCCAUGCUGCAUGGUGCUCCACAUAGACAGGCUCCUGAACCUGCUUGGAAU